GUCAAAGAUCAGCUGUGGUGUUGUUUGUUUUACACAUCUAUUAUCCAAACAAGUUUUGCACUCCAGGAGAGCAGGGUCUGUAUCUCCUUCCCUGAGGGCAGCAAGGGGGCUGCCUCCAGGUAAGGCUGUGGGUGAGUGCAUAAAUGGGUGUUUACUCAGAUCCCAGGGUGAGAGUACCCAGCCGCUGUCUUACUGCUGCUGUUGUGAGAUGUUUCUCUAGUUUUAACUCCAGAAAGCAGGCAAACUGGCAAGCUUCCAGGAACCUCUGUGCACUGAAUGCCUAGUGAACAAUAACACCAUAUGUAGAAAACCCACUGGAGGCCCCGAAUGGACCUUUUCCAAUCAUAAGCUUCUUCCAAUCCACGAUAAGCAAAAGCAUCACCAGCUCAGACACUGGAGUCUCCUCCAGAGAUGGGAAGUUACCACGGGAGAAAGGAUCACAGCACUCAGGACACUGGGGUGAAAGCUGCCGAAACCCUCACCACUGCACUCGAGCUUGAUGCCUGACAGCUGCGCUAAUCUCGCUACGCUCCAAAGUGGAGAAAAGAAACGGAAGUUGCCUUACCUGACAACGGAGACAAGCAAGUGUUACGAACAGACUUGUGCCUUCCUCCCCCAAAUUCACCUGGGACCGGAUUCAGAGACUGGGUCCAUAAGCAGAGAGGAAAGGUCUCCUGUGGGCAUGUUGAGAAGUCACCAUCUUGAAGUCAAGAAGACAGACCUCACCUGAAAACAAUGAUACAGGCACCUUGCUCUUGGACUUCUGGCUCCAGAACUCUGAGGAAAUAAAUUUCUGUUGUUUAAGAUACCCACACUGUGACGUUUUGUUACGGCAGCCCUGUGUGAAUAAUAUACCAAGAUCACUGAGGCAUUUAACCUAAUAUAGCCAGAAUUCAUUGAAUCCAAUCUUUACUCAAGGAGGCUAGGUAUAUUUACAGUUAGGCCCUUUUUUCUGAAACGAACGAAAACAAAACUUUUAAAUUAACUGAAUAGGAAACACACAGGCAUAAUAAAAUGUUCAUGGGUUUACAUGGUGCCGUGGAUUGAAUUACAUCCCCAUGAAAUUCCCAUGUGGAAGCCUUAAUCCCCAAUGUGAUAGACUUUGGAGAUAAGGCUUUGGGAAGAUAAUCAAGUUUAGCUGUCAAGAAAGUAGAGACCUUGAGAUGGGGUUAAUGUUUUUACUGAGAAGAGUAGCUACGAAGCUGACUCUUGCUGUCUCGCUCCACCAUGUGGGGGCACCUGAGAAGGUGGACAUCUGAAAAUUAGAAAGACAGCCCUCGAAAGGAACCUGACCAUACUGGCACUCAGAUCUGACACUUCAGCCUCCAGAAUUUAGAGAAAAUAAUCUUUUAUUAAGACACCAAUCUGUGAUAUUCUGUUAUGGAGGCCCUAGCUGAGAUAUAAAAUUUGAGGAAGUUUUAAGCCUCUUUCUCUCACUUCAGACCCUCACUCCCGUAGUCCUUCUUUCCCAGAGGCAACCACUACAAAUUAUUACAAUUAAUAUACUAGAAUAUAGAUAGACAAGAAAUGGAUAGUGCUUUUUUUGUGAAUGAGAAUAUUCUACAUAUAUGGUCCUAAACUUUGCCUUUUU
ensembl:lncRNA